UACAGAGGGUGCGAGCGUUGUUCGGAAUUACUGGGCGUAAAGCGCGCGCAGGCGGCUUCCUAAGUCCGUUGGUGAAAGACCGGGGCUCAACCCCGUGUCAGCCAUGGAUACUGGGAGGCUGGAGACAGGUAGAGGCAAGCGGAAUUCCGGGUGUAGCGGUGGAAUGCGUAGAGAUCCGGAAGAACACCGGAGGCGAAGGCAAUCCCCUGGGCCUGCACUGACGCUCAUGCACGAAAGCGUGGGGAGCAAACAGG
rnacentral:rRNA from 1 species